UUCAAUAUUGACGUUCGCGCGUCAGUGUGCACUUUUCUCUUAGUAAGACGCUGUGAUCCAUUAGGAAUGGAUGGCUCUCGGGUCAUCAUUGGGCUGUCAAUAGGCCGGCGCGAAGUUCACGAUGGCAAAUGGUGCGACCGCUAUACGGUUGUGCGUAUUGCCUUGUGAGCGCGCCGCGUACUGCUACAGCCGCCUGAUGGAUUUUCAAGACUGCCACGUAAUCGUUUCGGCGAUUACCCGCUGCGGCGGGAUUUUGUGGUGUGUCCGAUCGACAGCGGUUAAAUUUGGGAUACCUUUGGGACCCGUCUUGAAACACGGACCAAGGAGUCUAUCUAGUGUGCGAGUAAAUGGGCGAUAUUGUUUAAACCUAUUUGCGUAAAUAACUUGACUGUUAUGGGAUUACGAGUGCUCCGGCGUGGGCACUCCUCCAUCCCGGGGUAUUUUCAUCACAUGCACUGCUCUCGGGUGGCUGCAUGGAAAAUAUACCAUGAGCGCACUGGAUAUGACCCGAAAGAUGGUGAACUAUGCCUGAUCAGGUUGAAGUCAGGGGAAACCCUGAUGGAGGACCGAAGCAAUUCUGACGUGCAAAUCG
rnacentral:rRNA from 1 species